UCAUGUAGUGAGGCUCAUUUUAACUGUUAGAGGAAAAGGGCAUUGCCUUUUCUUCAGGAACUGAACAAAGCAUGCAGUCUCCCAGUUUAUCUAGGAUGUGAAUAAGAUCCAUGCUAGCUGUUGAUGCCUUCAAAACACACAAGAUCUAAACAAGAUUUCGAUGGAGAGAUAUGGAGUAAGAAUACUUGUCAGAGUAUUUUAUCAGUUAUUUCACCUUAAGUAAUGAUCUUAAUUUUCUUUCUGUAUUGUUGAAAUUAUACAAAAGAAGCACCUGCCUGAAGGAGGUGUGUUGAUCAAGUCUUGAGGCUCCAGCCUCCUGUGUGGAGGUUUCCUCACCUGCAGCCUGGUCUGCCUGAUGGCUGCUUGCACGGUCAGCUAUCAGUACCUGGUGAUCACUGGCUGAAGCUCAUCAGUUAUCCACAGAAAUGAUGUGGCACGUCUUGUCCAAAACCCCUUCUGAUGGUGAGAGGAGAAACUGGCAACCUGAGAACAUUUUGGAGAGGAGCUCCAGCCCUCUGAUCAUCCUCAUGGCCCCCCUCUGGACCCACACUACCAUCCCCAGAGCUGGAAGCAGUACUGCAGGUGGGGCCUCGCUGCUGCACCAGUGCUGAGCUGGUUGCGGCGUGUGGCAGCUGGGCUGGUGCGUGUUGACUGAAGAGACACCACUCAAUGUCAGUGUGAAGUAACUCAUUAUCAAUCCAUUCAUUCAAAUCCACAUUUAGGAUCUACAGAAAUAAUUGCCAUCAUAUUAAGAUGUAUGUUUAAAGCUUGGCAAUUAAUUCAUAUGCAUAGAUUAAUACACAACACAAACUCAGUCAUUGAUAUUGGGAAAGUUUUUAAUGUAAUAAAACUAAAAGCACAAUGACAGGGACAUAUUACCUCGCCAGAUGGCACAGUUUGUUAAAACAAACCAACACAUUUCUAAAACAGUGUCCUAAUCUCCACUUGAAACAAAUUUUAAUUUAAAAUGGAAGGAUAUUUGCAUAAAAAGGGUUCAGAGAACAAAUAUUUCAGAAGUUCACUCUUAGACAAGGGCAGUUCUGGUCUGAGGCAAUAGAUGGUGGGAAAACAUAAGCCAAUUAAAAUAAUCUUUAACACUGGAAUUUCAAGCAUAAAACUGUCAGUGUGAGUGAAUCAGACCAUUAUGGAAAGUUUUCAUCUGGCAGAUGCCAGCCAGUAUCACCUGUGUUCAGGAGCUGUCUGCAGGACUCAGGUCCAGAACUGUGCAAAUAGUGAGUUAACCCCAUCAGAAACAAUGUUUGUUUUUGGAGGACUGAAUCUCUUAAGGGUUUUUUGAAACCUUGGGUCAUCGCUGGAGUGGGAAUGUCAUUCUCUAAUGAAAUUCAGAAUAUAUUGGAGCAAACAAAAAGAAAAAAAACAGUUAUUUUUAAGGGUUUAGUCUGGCUAUGCCAAGUUCCAUAUGAAAAAAAAAAAAAAAAAAAAAAGAGUUAGGAUGUUUUGAUGAAUUUACUAUUUGACAUAAAAAGGAUUCUCUUGCUGUGGAAACAGGUGACAAAUUUGAGGGUGUAUUGAAUCCAUUCCCUGCUUCUGUUCAGCUCCAACUCUUUGACAGGCAAUAUGUGUGCAUGGCUCACAACGUGACUUUGCUGGACCUGUCCUCCCCCUCUUCUCAUACAAAAGGGAGGCAAGCUGACCUACUGUGUAAAUGAUUUGAAAGGGCUCUGCACUGAUGAACAGCCAGGAGGGAGAAGGACCCUGUGUAUUACUGCAGUUAAUUGUCUUUACACUUAGUGAUUAUUUUAUUUAACUAAUUUAUUAUUUUGAUGUUAUGCUAUUAUAUGUUUCAUGGAAAUCCAGAAAUCCACACCUUAAAUAUGUGUGCAUCACCGAGUUAUUGAGGUCCAUGAUUUUGUUGCCAGCAACCCUCAGUUUGGUUUCCAUCCAUGGACAGUGCCAAUGCUCCCUGGUCUACAGCAUCCAAGCUCUCCUAGAUGAACACGAGGUGCAGUGUGCCUCACCUGUAGGCAUUUCUUUGGUCCCUCUGUGACUUUAGCCUGUGACUUUAACCAAGAAAAGAGCACAGAAAACCUUAUUACUGAUAGCUUGUGGGCUCCUAGCCUACCAAGCAGCACGUGCAGGCUGCCAGGCCAUAGCACCCGCUUCAUUUUGGAUCUACCACAACAUGUGAUGUGUCCUGCCAAGUGGGAAUGUCAUAGAGGACAAAGGGAAGAACGGAGGUUAUUGAAGGAAGGAGGAGUUUAGGGGAUGGAGGUUUUGUAUUUGUAGGAAAAUAUGUGCCACUGAUUUGGCUGCUUACAUGUACAAGCCUGCUUUCUGGGAUUUAAAAAAUUUGCUGUCUUCCUUCUCUCAACCCCCCAGGCAACAGCUGGUCCUUGGAAGAUGUGAUUGCAAAGGGAAAGCAUUUCUAUACCAAAAAAUGUAAAAGUGAAAAAUAACUCCCAGAACUUCACCCUGAGCUGAAGGAAAAUGUAAAAGUAUGAUUUCCUCUUCAUUUCCUCUUCCCUGCUGGUUAUUAGGAAAAGAUCACAGGUAUGUCAGCCUGUCUGGGACUCCAUAAGCAGAACAAAAAGGUAAAUCCCAGCAGGAGGGUUAGCAGCACCGAGCACCUGGGAGAUGCUUGGUUAUUGAGCUGGGGAGUGUUCUGCACAUCCCAUCUAUCUGCCCCAUCCUUUCACAGCGAGCUGCUUCCUGAAGGACCACCAGGGUGAUGGAUAUGAAAACAAGGUGUUGAUGUUGGUGUGUCCUGCUGCCAUCACUUGUUCCCCAUCACUCAAUACUCCUCUGCUCCCCUCAAGGCCACUUGAUUCCACCAGCAACAUGUCAGGUAUCUGAUGCUACACAUCUUCCUUCUGGCUCAACUACAUGCCCUGCUGACCUCAUACUGGUGUGACACACAAAGGAGUUACAUAAAGACUCUGCAGAUGCACUUUCAUGGAUCACAGGUUGCCUAUAAUUCAUACUCUAAUAUUUGGUGUGAGUGGCCGCAUUCAGCACUGGCUCCGGUCUCCUCUGGGAGGAUAUUUUCAGUGGUACUUACACCUCACUUUGAGUUAUCUCUUCUGUUUUCCUAAAUAAAAGCCUGUAUAUUUCUUGUUUGAAUGCUUUAUUUUUGUUAUUACACGUAGAAAAAAAGCAAGAAGGACCCAAGAUGGUCUCAGCAUGUAGGAGCUGGGUACGUGCCUCUUCCAUCACGUUGUGCGUCAGCCCUGCUUGCAAAUGGCUACCAGUGAGUUGGGGGGAAAUAAGGGGAUCAAAUCAUUUGGUUCUGUUCACUACUGAUUCCCCUGACAGCUUUAAAGACUGCUUUUUUAGUGGGGUAUACAGUGAGAUACAUGGUGUACUGUGCAAAUUGUUUCAAAAACAGUAAGGUAUUUUCUGUGAUAACUUUAUGGGUAAGUAAACAAAUCCCAGUCCAAUGCGUGUUCAUAAAGCUUUGGACUAGGCUGACCCUGUCCCUCUUCAGUGCCGUUCAGACUGUGUGACUAAGCACAGAAAAAAAUCAAAAUUAAAAAUUAAAAUGUGUUGCAGGGUGGGCUCAGAAAAUACUGAUGCUUUUAAGGGCUCGACUGGACCUUUAAUCUUGCUGAACUGUCUAUGAUCUCCUGAGACAACUGAUGGACAGCCCAAACUAACCACUGAAACAAGGCUCCUAUUGAGAUGUGUUUGUUUACUCAGGCAUCUGCAUGGAUCAUUUGAACAAAAAGCACACCCGUAACUCUUUCCCAGUUGCAUUUCAUCCUCCCGGUUCUAUCGUAGCAAUAUCAGCAAUGCGGGGAAUGAACACACCGAAAUCCCUGUUCGCUCAAGCGGGAGCAGGUUUGAUCCCUAGCAACGUGAAGUCAGUAUGUGAAUUUUGCAAAUCCACGAGAAUAAAUUGAUCUCUCUCAGUCAUUUCUCACCAGUUCUCCCCAAACCAAAAGUGUUUUAAUUAUUCGAGUGUCAAGCAAUCAGAUGCUGCACCUCAGACACAGCUAUUCCAGGAGAUAAUUAGAAGCAGAGAGGAGCAAACAAUAUGCCACAGAAACGAUCAUCGCGGUGUGAUCUGAAAGAUAACUUUAGUAACACAAGUGUUUCUUUGCUGGGUGACUCACAGAAGGAAGCAGGGGCUGGAGCUGCUGAAAAAGGAGCCUGCUCCAUGGGAACAUGAGCGAAGGUCAAGGAUCAUCCGUGUACUGCCGACUUUUUGUUUGACGUUCAUAAUCUUAAGGAAAUGGAUGGAAGGAGAGCAAAUGUCAGCUCCAGUAAUGACUAUGUAACUCUGGGACUGUAUAGAAAAGUGAUAGCCCCAGCUCCCACGCUGCUGGUGGAAAAAAUGGGGAGAAGUGAACUGAGAAUCCAAGCCUUGCUUUAAUGUUUUCUUCGGAGUUUCAUUGUGAAUUCUGAUUUAUCAAAGGGACACAUAGUUCCCUUUUAUAUUUCUCUCUCUUGGUCUAUAUAGUACAUAGAUAUAUAUAUAUGUAAUUUUAACUUCUGUUUUUUAUCUGUGCAACUUCCCAAAGCUGUACAAGAAAUACCAUCUUGGUGACAGAUACUAUCCUUUAUUCAAUUUAAAAUAACAUAAAUAUCUGAUAGUUUUUAUGUUAAGUUCCAGCUGGCAUAUAACAUUUAAUGCAAAAAAUAAGUGCCUUGUAAAAAUAUGCAUAUUAUAUAAGAAUAUAUCUAAUCACCGUGUUAAAUUGUUAAAUUUUUUACAUAUCACUCAGACUCACCUUACACAUUUUUUUUUUCCAGUGGUUAUUUUCACACUAUCUUCUUUCAAUAACAGAUUGUCUAAACCUUCUUCCUUCUGUUUCUAGCCAGAAUAGCAGCAAGUUUAAUUUUGUAUCUGCCCCAAACUGUGGCACAGCUGGCAGCCUGUAAACACCCAGCAGCCUGCUCUCCGUUUGAGGCUGUGCUCCUUCCCUCCAGAAGAGGAGUGCCUGCUCUGGAAAUUCAGAUGCUAGGUCACAUUCUGGCUGAAAAUCAGAUUAUCAAGGGAGAAGAAGGUGCUGUGUCAUUAUGCUGUCCGCUGUCUGGAAUUUGGCAGCAAUUACCAUUGAAUGGAGGUUUGCUGGCUUUGCAAGACAUCUUCCAGCUCUGCUAUUCAUUGAUGGAGUGUAUCUCUUCCCCAGGCAGUCUGACCCAGUGCUUCGCUCUCCUUAGUGUUGGGAAGGUAUCCCAAUAUCAACCCCAAACAGCUCUUCUUCAAGGAAAGUUUGUGACUGCCUGUCCUGCUUCAGUCUUGCAGGCCACGUCAUCUGUUCAUCCCCACAGGGUGUUUGCCAUUUUGGCCUGGGCUCAGCACAACUGGCUCAUGCUCACCGUGAUUCACUACAACCCCGGACCCUUCUCUGCAGGGCUGUUACCCAGGCACUGUUCCUCCAUCCCAUGACUAUUCCCUCCUAGGUGAAGGGAAAUGUGACUGUGUAAGGAUGCACAUGGCUGCAGCAGGUGCAAAUCUACCUAAAUUCAUGACAGUCUGAUAAAAUCCUAAGAGACUGUGCAGGACAGAAGGGAUAAGUAGAGAAGAUACAGAAUGAUACAAUGAGUCUCUUCCACAAAUUCAAAACAUCCUGGCAAGUCUCCUAGCACCCAAUACAGACUUCAUUUAUUGUUCUGGAUUUUUUUUUUUUCCAGUUUAUUGUCUUGCAUUUUUAAUUUGUCCCCAGCUUGUAAAUCCAACCUUUCUCACAACAGUUGUGGACACUGCAAGCCCUCUGAAAUUUGAGGUUCAAAUUCAUCGAGCUGGAUUCAAAUAUUGAAGCCACAAUGCUGAGUCUUAAGACUGACACAAAAAAUCAGGGAAAAUCUGUUAGAUGAUUAAGGUUAAUACCAAACUUAACCUUAAUUUUGGCUGAAAUAUGUUUAAAUUAAAAGCUGGGAAAAUGCAUAUUCUUUCUAUCAAUGAAUAUAAAACUGCACUCCUACUCCUUGUCAGUGCUUCAGGAUAAAUGAGCAAAGGCAGUAAGUGUGCUUGUGACUCCAGGGAGGAGAUGUUUUGGUAGAGAGGCAUCUAAUAAGAAUAACAGGUUUUCCAGGAAUCUGGAAAUGCUCAAAUGCCUGUGGUUGAGCCAGUCUUGGAAAGGCUAGAAAAGUGGCUGUGUGGCCAGCUGACACUGCGUGCUUUAUUUGAAUUUCCUGGUUCUUGGUCUUGGUCUACGAACGUACUUUUUCUGUUGUAAAUCAAAGAUUCUCUACCACACACCACAACCUGUCUCUCUGUAGCUAAACCACACAAUCUGCUUGACUCUUGCAAAAGAGAUCAGUGGA